UGGGGAAUAUUGCGCAAUGGGGGAAACCCUGACGCAGCAAUACCGCGUGAGCGAAGAAGGUUUUCGGAUCGUAAAGCUCUGUUAUCGGGGAAGAAGAAGUGACGGUACCCGAUGAGGAAGUCCCGGCUAACUACGUGCCAGCAGCCGCGGUAAUACGUAGGGGACAAGCGUUGUCCGGAAUGACUGGGCGUAAAGGGCGCGUAGGCGGUUUUGUAAGUCAGAUGUGAAAGGUACCGGCUCAACCGGUGACGUGCAUUUGAAACUGCAAGACUUGAGUACUGGAGAGGCAAGUGGAAUUCCUAGUGUAGCGGUGAAAUGCGUAGAUAUUAGGAGGAACACCGGUGGCGAAGGCGGCUUGCUGGACAGAUACUGACGCUGAGGCGCGAAAGCGUGGGGAGCAAACAGG
rnacentral:rRNA from 2 species